UAGGGAAUCUUCCACAAUGGACGCAAGUCUGAUGGAGCAACGCCGCGUGAGUGAAGAAGGUUUUCGGAUCGUAAAGCUCUGUUGUUGGUGAAGAAGGAUAGAGGCAGUAACUGGUCUUUAUUUGACGGUAAUCAACCAGAAAGUCACGGCUAACUACGUGCCAGCAGCCGCGGUAAUACGUAGGUGGCAAGCGUUGUCCGGAUUUAUUGUGCGUAAAGCGAUAGCAGGCGGAAUGAUAAGUCUGAUGUGAAAGCCCACGGCUCAACCGUGGAACUGCAUGGGAAACUGGCAUUCUUGAGUGCAGAAGAGGAGAGUGGAAUUCCAUGUGUAGCGGUGGAAUGCGUAGAUAUAUGGAAGAACACCAGAGGCGAAGGCGGAUCUCUGGUCUGCAACUGACGCUGAGGCUCGAAAGGAUGGGUAGCGAACAGG
rnacentral:rRNA from 1 species